rnacentral:rRNA from 1 species
GAUGAACGCUGGCGGCGUGCUUAACACAUGCAAGUCGAACGAAGCACUUCAUAAAGCUUGCUUUAAGAAGUGACUUAGUGGCGGACGGGUGAGUAACGCGUGGGUAACCUGCCUUACACAGGGGGAUAACAGUUAGAAAUGACUGCUAAUACCGCAUAAAACAGCAGAGUCGCAUGACUCAACUGUCAAAGAUUUAUCGGUGUAAGAUGGACCCGCGUCUGAUUAGCUUGUUGGUGGGGUAACGGCCUACCAAGGCGACGAUCAGUAGCCGGCCUGAGAGGGUGAACGGCCACAUUGGGACUGAGACACGGCCCAAACUCCUACGGGAGGCAGCAGUGGGGAAUAUUGGACAAUGGGCGAAAGCCUGAUCCAGCGACGCCGCGUGAGCGAUGAAGUAUUUCGGUAUGUAAAGCUCUAUCAGCAGGGAAGAAAACGACGGUACCUGACUAAGAAGCCCCGGCUA